rnacentral:rRNA from 1 species
GAUGAACGCUGGCGGCGUGCCUAAUACAUGCAAGUCGAGCGAACGGACGAGAAGCUUGCUUCUCUGAUGUUAGCGGCGGACGGGUGAGUAACACGUGGAUAACCUACCUAUAAGACUGGGAUAACUUCGGGAAACCGGAGCUAAUACCGGAUAAUAUUUUGAACCGCAUGGUUCAAAAGUGAAAGACGGUCUUGCUGUCACUUAUAGAUGUAUCCGCGCUGCAUUAGCUAGUUGGUAAGGUAACGGCUUACCAAGGCAACGAUGCAUAGCCGACCUGAGAGGGUGAUCGGCCACACGGGAACUGAGACACGGUCCAGACUCCUACGGGAGGCAGCAGUAGGGAAUCUUCCGAAAUGGGCGAAAGCCUGACGGAGCAACGCCGCGUGAGUGAUGAAGGUCUUCGGAUCGUAAAACUCUGUUAUUAGGGAAGAACAUAUGUGUAAGUAACUGUGCACAUCUUGACGGUGCCUAAUCAGAAAGCCACGGCUAACUACGUG